UACGUAGGCAGCGAGCGUUGUUCGGAAUUACUGGGCGUAAAGAGUGUGUAGGCGGUGCUCUAAGUUCGGUGUGAAAUCUCUCGGCUUAACUGGGAGGGUGCGCCGGAAACUGGAGUGCUCGAACGUGGGAGAGGAAAGCGGAAUUCCUGGUGUAGCGGUGAAAUGCGUAGAUAUCAGGAGGAACACCUGCGGUGUAGACGGCUUUUUGGACCAUUGUUGACGCUGAGACACGAAAGCGUGGGUAGCAAACAGG
rnacentral:rRNA from 1 species